UCCAAUGUGGUGUAGUGGCUAACAUUGCUGUCUUUCAUAGACCUUGUGUAGUGACUGUUGCACAGCAGCCCGGGGUUCGAUUCCCCGCAUUGGAA